ACGACUUCCGCGUUGUGUUGCCGGCGUGCUGUCGUGACCGACAAAUUUAUACUCCUCUUUUCUGUCGUUUAUACUGCUUUCUGGUGGUGCUCUCUUGGCUUCGUAUACUUUGUGUUUUCGCAGCCACGCAACAGCUCGAGGAAAGGGGAUGAUGAUUGAGAAGGGAAGAGCGUGAUAGUGAAAACGAACGGCUAUAGCUAUAAGGUGGGUUGAUAUUAUACUGGAGGACCUGGACAUAUGUUUGAGCCGUUCAGGUGAGCGAGCGGGCGGUCACCAUUAGCCAUCGUGGAAAGAAGAAUUGUAUUUUCUCGGGGCCAGCAGCUAUGGUAUAGCCACAGCUCCCAAACGCAUACACACACACACACACAUACACAUAGUACAUUCAGACAUAGGCAUUCAGUCACACAAGAAAAGAUAAAAAAAAAAAAAAGAAGAAAGAAGAAGAAAAGAAGGGGGGGUCACUGUCGGUCAUUCACCUCCGUGCCGCUCUUGAAUAUAUCUAUAUACGUGUAUGCGUAUAUAGACAUAAACUGAGGUUCCCUGUUCUCAACACACACACACACACAUCCCUUUAUCGAGCCUUGCUCUUAUUAUUAUAUAUCCCUGUUGUAACUAUAGUGGGUACAUAUAAUAACAAGAAUAGCCUCCAACUGCCCUGCAUUUUGUGAUAUCAGCACCGCAAAACACAAGAUUAUCUCUCGCUUCAUUUAUUUAUUUAUUUAUUUUUUUUUUUUUCAUACAAUUAUUUUUAAUUUUGAGGAGAUUUUUGUUGUUGUUUUGUUCACCUGCCACGUAGCUGGGAGGUUUCUAAACUUUGCAUCAAUCAUUCUUAUGGAAUCCAGCUAGAUGUCGCCUAACAUUGCUAAAGCGGUUAAAACCACAACGUGGAGGAUUUCAGUCGCAAAAACCUUUUGAAAUCCAAAUUCAGACAAGAGCAUUUUAAUAAAAUUUCAAUUUUUUUGUUUUUUUUUUGUUUAUUAAUUUUUAUUAUUAUUAUUUAUUUAUUUCAUUUUAUUUUUUUUGCUCUUCCCUUCUUCAGUAAAUUUCCUCCCUCCCUGCGUGUACUGUAAAUCUGUUUAUAUACACGCAUUUAUCAUCGUGGUAGGUUGGGGAUGGGGGGGGGGAACAGAUUCCGGACGACAUAUGUGUCGGCAGCAUUUCCUCCGCAAAGUCGCCGACCACUUAUAAUUCUCCCCUGAACAUGCACAGCGUCUCCGACAAAAACAGCUGAGUAGGUUACUGCCGGUCUUUGGCCUUGCCCUGCUCACCGUGCCGCAGCGAGUCCAACAAAACAUUGACGUCAUCGGUGACGUACCGGUACCGCCCUAUUUUCUCCUCCUUCGCCAUCAAUCCCGCCUUCUUCUUAAAGUUGGCAAAUUGCCACGUUUAAAACCGACACAGCAGCGUUUUACUAGCGAACGCGGGUUUAAACUAUACUCGUCGUUUAUAACGCUGCGGCUGAAGUGAAGCGGGCGAACGAGCCAGAUGACCCGAAUCGAGUUGCUCGUUUCAUCUUCAAAUAUACCGGGUACUGACACGUACUGUACGUACUGUAGCCUGUAUAGAUAUAGCUACAGUAUAUACUACAUGUUACCUGUCUUUCACGCUAUCGUUAGUGUGGGGUUUAAGGCGAUUCGCUUUGAGAUGGCACCCAUUUCAAUAUUAGCUGACGGCGUGAGCACAGUUCAUUGAACCCCCGGCAAUUCUGCAGUAUAUAGUCAACGAUGUUGCCAGUUUGAGUCACUCUAGCAUCUAUGCUAAUUGGUUUCGACCGUUCGUCGUUAUUGACGUUCCAAAGUGUGUUCAUUUUAGCCACCCAAACAGUUUCCCUGUCUAUAGCCUCAUCGUAUUUGUGUCUUGCUAUCGAAUGAAUGAUGUUAUUCGUGGAGGAAUAGAAGAUAAGCAUUUGAUUUGGCUUAUUUUAUGGAACUCGAUCGUAUGACGGAUCACGACGCUGGCGUGGUGUCCGAACGGCACGAAGGAGACCGCGAAUUGUUUGUGAUUUAUUUAUUGUUUCAGCUAUGGACGACGUAAUUUCCGCGUUUACUUCCCGGACCUGGCGAUUGAGUCCUUUUUUUUUUUGUCCCUGUUUUAUUUUUCCCAAGGCUUUUAUUAUAAUUGAAUAAAUCAGAAACUUGUUCAUCAAAUUGACUGUUUACUUGAGCUGCCCUAUAGCCAUCUUUAGCCUGUUUUCGAAUCAGGUGAAUGUCAAUAUCAUAACAUAUUUUGUGUUGGCGAUCGUAUGGAACAAUCGGAAACCCUGGAAUUGGCACCGAUUCAUUGGAAAACGAAAGAAAUGAAAAGACCAGAGGUACUUGGAUAUCGUGAUAUCGCUUUGCAUAUAUUUUUUACUUUUAUUCAUUUUUUCUUUUUUUUUUCAUUGUCUUAUUUGUUACCCAACAGGUUUCAGGGCUACAUGGUACAUGAGUACGACUCUCGUGGCUAUUUUUGCCGUCUUCUUCCGUACAACGUAAAUC